rnacentral:rRNA from 1 species
CCUACGGGAGGCAGCAGUGAGGAAUAUUGGUCAAUGGGCGUGAGCCUGAACCAGCCAAGUAGCGUGAAGGAUGACUGCCCUACGGGUUGUAAACUUCUUUUAUACAGGAAUAAAGUGAGGCACGUGUGCCUGUUUGUAUGUACUUCAUGAAUAAGGAUCGGCUAACUCCGUGCCAGCAGCCGCGGUAAUACGGAGGAUCCGAGCGUUAUCCGGAUUUAUUGGGUUUAAAGGGAGCGUAGAUGGGUUGUUAAGCGUGUCGUGAAAGUUUGCGGCUCAACCGUGAGAGUGCAAUUGAUACUGGCAGUCUUGAGUACAGUGGAGGUAGGCGGAAUUCGUGGUGUAGCGGUGAAAUGCUUAGAGAUCACGAAGAACCCCGAUUGCGAAGGCAGCUUGCCAAACUGCCACUGACAUUGAUGCUCGAAAGUGUGGGUAUCAAACAGGAUUAGAUACCCGAGUAGUC